rnacentral:rRNA from 1 species
AUGCAUUCAUCCUCUGUUGCUUCUGACCAAUUUGAUGAUGUUGCAUAUUCUCCUCUAUUGUUGCCUAACCAUGGUGCAGGCACUGGUCGUGGGGCUCGUUUGGAGAUUCUGGAAGCGCCAUCUUCCUCUUCGUCGCCAUCGCCUUCAUCCUCGGCACCUUCUGUUGUGCAUGAGGAGCACAUGGCGCCCCUGCAUGGCCUCGGUUUCCGUGCUCAUGCACGGCCGAUCGACGUCCUGGCCCGAUCGCCUCUGGCUUCUGGGCUGCCUUCGCCAUCGUCGCGCCCUGCAACCCCGCCGACUGGGCCGGCCUCCUCGGUCCCCGUCUCGCCCAGGGCGUCGGGGCAGUCAUCACCAGGCCUGGCCUCGCCCGCCCCUGCCUCGCCCAGGGUGUCUGGGCCCUUCUCACCAGGGCCGGCCUCGCCUGCUCUCGCCUCGCCAAGGCCGUCUGGGCCGGUGUCACCGGAGCUGGCCUCGCCCACCCUCGGUUCGCCCAUGGCCUCUGAGCCCCUGUCGUCGGACCAGUCUUCGCCAUGCAGCCCGGAGUCGUCUGUCCCGAGCUCGCCUGAGGUGAUUCCUGCAUCUCCGGCGACCGUCACGUCUCCGUCACCUUCGCCUCCGCCGGCUCCUGCUGCUGCUCUAUGUCCACAUACGCGCAGUCGGAGUGGCAUUUUUCAGCCUAAGCAAUGUCACGAUGGCACAGUUGCUUGGUUAGCGGCGUGCAUGUCUGCUGCUCUCGCAGAUCCAUCCUCUGAGCCACGCACGUAUCAAGCUGCUAUGCGCAUUCCUCAUUGGAGAGAGGCCAUGGAGCAGGAGUAUCAAGCGCUUCUUCGCAAUCAGACAUGGACUCUUGUUCCUCCACAAUCACGGGUAAAUGUCAUUGAUUCCAAAUGGGUUUUCAAAGUGAAGAGGCAUUCUGAUGGGUCCAUUGAGCGCUAUAAGGCUCGUCUGGUUGCUCGUGGUUUUCGACAGCGUUUUGGACUUGACUAUGAAGACACCUUCAGUCCAGUGGUCAAGCCUACUACCAUCAGACUUCUUCUCUCUCUGGCUGUUACUCGAGGUUGGUUUCUUCAUCAGCUUGAUGUUCAAAAUGCUUUUCUUCAUGGUGUCUUGGCGGAGGAGGUUUACAUGCGCCAGCCUCCGGGUUUCUCUGAUCUGGAUCGCCCUGAUCAUCUCUGUCGUCUGUCCAAGGCAAUUUAUGGUCUGAAGCAGGCUCCUCGUGCUUGGCAUGCUCGUCUUGCAAUGGCUCUUCGUGCUCAUGGUUUUGCAUCAUCAACUGCUGACUCCUCAUUGUUUCUUCUUCAAAGGCCUGAGGUUACUAUGUACUUGUUGGUCUAUGUAGAUGAUAUCAUUUUGGUCAGCUCCUCUCAGUCGGCUGCUACUGCGCUUGUUCGCUCACUUGGUGCUGAUUUUGCGGUCAAGGACCUUGGGAAGCUUCAUUACUUUCUUGGUGUGGAGGUUACUUCUCGUGCUGCUGGCCUUGUUAUGACGCAGAAGAAGUACUCUCUGGAUUUGUUGCAGCAAGCUGGGAUGCUUAAGUGCAAACCGACGACUACACCCAUGUCUACCACUGAUAAGCUCAAUGCUGUUGAUGGUGUGCUUCUUUCUUCUUCUGAUGCGACCGAGUACCGGAGUAUUGUUGGUGGGCUCCAGUACUUGACGAUCACGCGACCAGACAUUUCCUAUGCUGUUAACCGAGUCUGCCAGUAUCUGCAGUCACCCCGUGACACUCAUUGGUCUGCUGUUAAGCGGAUUUUGCGCUAUAUUCGUUUCACGGUGGCUCAUGGUUUGCAUAUUCGGCCGUCUGACUCUGGUUGUCUUUCAGCAUAUUCUGAUGCAGACUGGGCUGGCAAUCCGGAUGACAGGCGAUCCACGGGGGGUUAUGCUGUCUUCUUUGGCUCUAACCCGAUUGCUUGGAGUGCUCGGAAACAGGCUACUGUCUCGCGUAGCAGUACUGAGGCUGAGUAUAAGGCUGUGGCCAAUGCCACAUCAGAGAUUAUCUGGGUACAGUCCUUGCUUCAGGAGUUAAGUAUACCCCAAUCACAGCCUCCUGUUCUUUGGUGUGAUAACAUCGGUGCUACAUACCUUUCUGCAAAUCCGGUAUUCCAUGCCCGAACGAAACACAUUGAAGUUGACUAUCACUUUGUGCGUGAACGUGUCUCAGAAGCAACUACAGAUCAAGUUUAUUUCUUCCAAGGAUCAACUUGCUGA